rnacentral:rRNA from 1 species
AACGUAGGCGGCUUGGCAAGUCAGGGGUGAAAUCCCAGUGCUCAACACUGGAACUGCCUUUGAAACUGCCAGGCUUGAAUCCUGGAGAGGCGAGUGGAAUUCCGAGUGUAGAGGUGAAAUUCGUAGAUAUUCGGAAGAACACCAGUGGCGAAGGCGACUCGCUGGACAGGUAUUGACGCUGGGGUUCGAAAGCGUGGGAGCAAACA